AACAAUACUUGAAUUAUUUUCUAUAUACAUUUUCAUUAUGUGCUUUAACUGUAGCUCAGACCAGUUGAUGGAAGAUACUGCAGAGUUUGGCAGGGAAAUAACCCAAGACAGCAAAGCGGCUCUUUUGGCGCAUUUACCAAGAGGACUAACAUGGCCACAAAUUCAUGAGAUCAUGCAGGAGCCGUACAGUAUAACAGCAGUGCAAGUUCUAUAAAAGAUCCACGACCUACUGAAGCCCAGCUAAUUAACAAAAAAGUUUUUAAAAACUGUAAUUUUAUCCCACCUGGGUACUUAUAAUUUACUAAGCUGCCUACACAAGUUUUAGACUUGCAAUUACAUUUUAAAUUGUCACUUGGAAAGUAAUACAUGUACAUGCAUUAUGUUCUGAAUU